rnacentral:tRNA from 1 species
GGAGAGGUGUCCGAGUGGUCGAAGGAGGCGGUCUUGAAAACCGUUGAACCGCAAGGUUCCGUGGGUUCGAAUCCCACCUUCUCCG